GUUAAUGUUGAGCAUAUUCCUUACUUAUUGUUCAGUCAUAUUAGCAUCAUUUUGUAGAUCGGUUACUAUAUUUCAGCUUAUCCUUUCUAUUAUGCCUGAGUUAGUCCUAGUGGGAAAGUCGGUGAUGUUGGGGCCGAACCCACUGGGAACUUUGUUGUAGUUCUCACCCCACUAUUUUCACAGAGCCGGGACCGAGCGAGCCAGCGAGCGACCGAGGUAAAGGUAUCGCGCUUUAGACAGAGGCCACCAGAGUUGAGUUGGGUUUACAUUUUGUAGUAGAGUACCCUAUGUUCAUCUUUUGUAUUUGAUGACUAGUGAUAUUGAGAAGAGAAUGUAAUGUGUAUUUUGAGGUAAAUGUGAAGUAAGAAAGAAAUGAUGAAAUGAAAUUUAAGGAAUUCGAAAGUGAACAAGAUGAAUGCAAUGUAUAUGAUCAAAAAUGAAUCAUAGUACUUGUAAAUGUUUAGUUUUCCUUUCUUUCAUUAAUGGCUAUUGCUUACCCUCGUGUAAGCCGUUUGUGUAUGUUUCCGCUAGUGCAUUUCUUGAUUGAAUUUGUACAUGUGAUGA
rnacentral:lncRNA from 1 species